UAAUACAUGCAAGUAGAACGCUGAAGGAGGAGCUUGCUCUUCUGGAUGAGUUGCGAACGGGUGAGUAACGCGUAGGUAACCUGCCUGGUAGCGGGGGAUAACUAUUGGAAACGAUAGCUAAUACCGCACAACAGUAGAUGUUGCAUGACAUUUGCUUAAAAGGUGCAAUUGCAUCACUACCAGAUGGACCUGCGUUGUAUUAGCUAGUUGGUGGGGUAACGGCUCACCAAGGCGACGAUACAUAGCCGACCUGAGAGGGUGAUCGGCCACACUGGGACUGAGACACGGCCCAGACUCCUACGGGAGGCAGCAGUAGGGAAUCUUCGGCAAUGGACGGAAGUCUGACCGAGCAACGCCGCGUGAGUGAAGAAGGUUUUCGGAUCGUAAAGCUCUGUUGUAAGAGAAGAACGAGUGUGAGAGUGGAAAGUUCACACUGUGACGGUAUCUUACCAGAAAGGGACGGCUAACUACGUGCCAGCAGCCGCGGUAAUACGUAGGUCCCGAGCGUUGUCCGGAUUUAUUGGGCGUAAAGCGAGCGCAGGCGGUUAGAUAAGUCUGAAGUUAAAGGCUGUGGCUUAACCAUAGUACGCUUUGGAAACUGUUUAACUUGAGUGCAAGAGGGGAGAGUGGAAUUCCAUGUGUAGCGGUGAAAUGC
rnacentral:rRNA from 1 species